GGAAGUAAAAGUUGUAACAAGGUCUCCGUAGGUGAACCUGCGGAGGGAUCAUUCACAUGAUUUACUUUAUAUAAACAAACCGUGAACUUUAUUUUAUAACUAUUCUUGUUGAAACAAUUUAUUGUUUUUUACAAUGUCAUUCGAUGAACAUUAGAUAGCUGGCUUGUUUUUAUUUAUUUAUAAACACUUUCUCAGCUGAUGAACUUGUUAUAGACUAAACAUCUAUUCAAUACAAUCAACCAAACAUAGAAACAACUCUAUGCCCUGGAUAUCUUGGUUCUC
rnacentral:misc_RNA from 1 species